rnacentral:rRNA from 1 species
UGGGGAAUAUUGGACAAUGGGCGCAAGCCUGAUCCAGCAAUGCCGCGUGUGUGAAGAAGGCCUUCGGGUUGUAAAGCACUUUCAGUUUUGAAAAAGGGGCCUUGGCUAAUAUCCAAGGUCAUUGAUAUUAGAGACAGAAGAAGCACCGGCUAACUCUGUGCCAGCAGCCGCGGUAAUACAGAGGGUGCGAGCGUUAAUCGGUAUUACUGGGCGUAAAGGGUGCGUAGGUGGUUGCGUAAGUUAAUUGUGAAAGUCCUGGGCUUAACCUGGGGAUUGCAGUUAAUACUGCGUGACUGGAGUGUUGUAGAGGUAAGCGGAAUUUCCGGUGUAGCGGUGAAAUGCGUAGAUAUCGGAAGGAACAUCGAUGGCGAAGGCAGCUUUCUGGACAAAUACUGACACUGAGGCACGAAAGCGUGGGGAGCAAACAG